rnacentral:rRNA from 1 species
CCUACGGGGCGCAGCAGUGAGGAAUAUUGGUCAAUGGGCGCGAGCCUGAACCAGCCAAGUCGCGUGAGGGAAGACGGUCCUAUGGAUUGUAAACCUCUUUUGUCGGGGAGCAAAAGACGCCACGCGUGGCGUUCCGAGAGUACCCGAAGAACAAGCAUCGGCUAACUCCGUGCCAGCAGCCGCGGUAAUACGGAGGAUUCGAGCGUUAUCCGGAUUUAUUGGGGUUAAAGGGUGCUAAGGCGGAGGAGCAAGUCAGCGGUAAAAUUGAGAGGCUCAACCUCUUCGUGCCGUUGAUACUGGUUGGCUUGAGUGAAUUAGAAGUAUGAGGAAUGCGUGGUGUAGCGGUGAAAUGCAUAGAGAUCACGCAGAACUCCGAUUGCGAAGGCAGCAUACCGGGGCUCAACUGACGCUCAUGCACGAAAGUGUGGGUAUCGAACAGGAUUAGAUACCCCUGUAGUC